ensembl:misc_RNA Metazoa_SRP Metazoan signal recognition particle RNA
GCUGGGCGUGGUGGCGCACGCCUGUAAUCCCAGCUACUUGGGAGGCUGAGGCGGGAGAAUCGCUUGAACCUGGGAGGUGGAGGUUGCAGUGAGCUGAGAUUUCAUCACUGCACUCCAGCCUGGGUGACAAAAGCAAAAACCUGUCUCAA